rnacentral:rRNA from 1 species
GUGAGGAAUAUUGGUCAAUGGGCGGGAGCCUGAACCAGCCAAGUCGCGUGAAGGAAGAAGGAUCUAUGGUUCGUAAACUUCUUUUGUGCAGGAAUAAAGUGGGUUACGUGUAACCUUUUGUAUGUACUGUACGAAUAAGGAUCGGCUAACUCCGUGCCAGCAGCCGCGGUAAUACGGAGGAUCCGAGCGUUAUCCGGAUUUAUUGGGUUUAAAGGGUGCGUAGGUGGAUUGAUAAGUCAGCGGUGAAAGUUUGCAGCUUAACUGUAAAAUUGCCGUUGAAACUGUCGGUCUUGAGUGCAAAUGAGGUAGGCGGAAUGUGUUGUGUAGCGGUGAAAUGCUUAGAUAUAACACAGAACUCCGAUUGCGAAGGCAGCUUACUGGGAUGCAACUGACACUGAUGCACGAAAGCGUGGGUAUCAAACAGGAUUAGAAACCCUAGUAGUCC